AGAUUGAACGCUGGCGGCAUGCCUUACACAUGCAAGUCGAACGGUAGAGUAGCAAUACUCGAGAGUGGCGAACGGGUGAGUAAUAUAUCGGAACGUGCCCAGUCGUGGGGGAUAACGUAGAGAAAUUUACGCUAAUACCGCAUACGAUCUAAGGAUGAAAGCGGGGGAUCGCAAGACCUCGCGCGAUUGGAGCGGCUGAUAUCAGAUUUAGGUUGUUGGUGAGGUAAAAGCUCACCAAGCCGACGAUCUGUAGCUGGUUUGAGAGAACGACCAGCCACACUGGGACUGAGACACGGCCCAGACUCCUACGGGAGGCAGCAGUGGGGAAUUUUGGACAAGUGGGCGAAAGCCUGAUCCGAGCAAUGCCGCGUGCGAGGAAGAAGGCCUUGGUUACGUAAACGUGUACUUUGUUAACGGAACGUAAAAGGUACUACUUUACUAAAGUUAAA
rnacentral:rRNA from 1 species